rnacentral:rRNA from 1 species
UCUAAGUAUAACCUGCCAGACAGGGAAACUGCGUACGGCUCAUUACACCAGCCUUAAUUUACUGGACCUUGACAACCUACUUGGAUAACUGUGGUAAUUCUAGAGCUAAUACAUGCACCAAAGCUCCGAUCCUCGCGGAGAGGAGCGCAUUUGUUCGCCACAAAACCAAGCGCCCAUCUGGGCGUCCAGUGCUGAACCAGAACAACUCAGCUGAUCGCACGGUCUUGUACCGGCGACGUGUCUUUCAAGUGUCUGCCUUAUCAACUUUCGAUGGUAGUGUACCUGACUACCAUGGUUGUGACGGGUAACGGAGGAUAAGGGUUCGACUCCGGAGAAGGGGCCUGAGAAAUGGCCACUACGUCUAAGGAUGGCAGCAGGCGCGCAAAUUACCCACUCUCAACGCGAGGAGGUAGUGACGAGAAAUAACGAGACCGUUCUCAUACGAGGCCGGUUAUUGGAAUGGGUA